UCUCCCCCGCUCCAUAAGCAACAGUAGCAUAUGCUUCUGACACAGGAAAGAAAAGUGACUACGAGACCUCAGGAAAGAGACUUGGCAGAGCUUUGACUGGCUUGCCACUUCCGGAAAGUAAAAUAUUGCACCACAAGGCGUAUACUAAAUGCUCUGGUGUCCUGCACUAUAGCAGGCUCAGCUGCUCCCAGAAUUAUGUUGGAAACUGUAAGUGAAGUAGCCUCACAACAGAGGUUGCCAACAGAAUAACAGCAAAACCCUUUAUAGCCCAGGAAGUUGAGGCUGCAGUGAGCCUCACGGCUCUUGCAUCACUGUACUCCAGCCUGGGUGACAGAGUAAGACCCUAUCUCAAAAAAAAAAAAAAAAAUCAAAUCUCAACUACAGAAACAGGCACUCAAGUGAGAAGCCACCACUAUUUGAGGAGAGUCAACACUAUGAAAGAGAAGUAGUAACAUUAGCAAAUGGAAGAACUUACACAAAGACUACAGAAUUAGUAGGACAAUAAAACAGGAUUUAAAGAAACAGACCAGCAUCAGAUUUCCCAUCUAGAAUAUACUAGAUAAAAGUAUGAAGUAAUUUUGAAUACAUAAAUGAAAUAAUUAUGACUCUAAGUGACAACACUGCUAGUUUUCUUCACACUGUUUUCUUGCUUCUUGCUAAUUAACAAUACUCCAAUAUUACUUAAAGUAGUAAAAUGUCCACUUAAAAAUACUUCUUCAGACACCCUUAUAACUAGAACUGUCUGUGUGACAUAGAAAUGUAAGCAGAAAAAUAUAGGGUGGAGGUCUCUGGAAUUCUCUUUUUCUGAUAAAAAGGAACAGACAUAGCUGACCUACGUAUAUUAUCCUUCUCCUUGUCCUAUCUUCUUCCUUGCUGGAACAUAGACUUAAUAAUUACAGAUACAUAAACCAUUUUGUGCCAAUGAGAACUAAAACCACAUCUUAAGAUUUGCCUAUAGAAAGAUAGAAGGCAUUUUUGACAGCUUCUCUGAGCAAUUGCACCAGCCUAAGAAUUUCAAUCUCCAGCCUAAAUGAAAAAACAAAAAUCAACAACAACAAAAAGAAAAACAACUCUCUUUUGUCAACUGUCCCAUCCAUCCUACACACCAGUCUAUUUGGUGGAUUUCUGAACAACGGUUACUGAGCAAAAUACAGCAGGACAUCAAGCUUGGCACAAACUUUUCUUGACCUGUGCUGUAGGCACCAUGCAGAGUUCCUGCCUUUGAGGAUUUUAUUUUGUUUGAGGAAAUAGACGAACACAGUGACUUCAAUGCCGUCCUGGAGAUAUUUCAGGCAGCGGGAACCUUGUGGACAAAGAUAUUGAAGCAGGGAAGUGUAGGGCUUGUUUCAGGAAAGGCGAUUAGAACUACAUGAUUGAAACAGGAAGGUCCAAGGUCAAGGCCAUCUCUCUGGAGAACUGCAAAAGGCACCAUCCCAUUGUCUUCUUGGGAGAAGAUUUGAAGGGAGAAAUGACAUCAGAUUUGCCCAUUUCUAAAAGGACAAAAGCUCUAUAUUUUCCUGCAUCAGCAAAACUGUCAACUGGAGAUAAGGCGUUUGUAACUAAUUCCCAAGGGUAGAAUUUAUCAAUACCGCCGGUUUCAAAGGAGCAUUCAGUAAUAAGGAAACAUAAAAGAACUCAACUACAGAAAACUGAUGCUUUAUUUUAAAAUUUAAGAAACUGCCACCAUGCAUCCCUAAG